AACGAACGCUGGCGGCAUGCCUAACACAUGCAAGUCGAACGAGACCUUCGGGUCUAGUGGCGCACGGGUGCGUAACGCGUGGGAACCUGCCCUUAGGUUCGGAAUAACUCCCCGAAAGGGGUGCUAAUACCGGAUAAUGUCUUCGGACCAAAGAUUUAUCGCCUUUGGAUGGGCCCGCGUUGGAUUAGCUAGUUGGUAGGGUAAAAGCCUACCAAGGCGACGAUCCAUAGCUGGUCUGAGAGGAUGAUCAGCCACACUGGGACUGAGACACGGCCCAGACUCCUACGGGAGGCAGCAGUGGGGAAUAUUGGACAAUGGGCGAAAGCCUGAUCCAGCAAUGCCGCGGGAGUGAUGAAGGCCUUAGGGUGGUAAAGCUCUUUUACCCGGGAUGAUAAUGACAGUACCGGGAGAAUAAGCUCCGGCGAACUCCGG
rnacentral:rRNA from 1 species